AAACCAGCACCUCAAGUGGUCAGGAUGAUUAUUGGGCCUAAAGCAUCCGUAGCCGGCUCUGUAAGUUUUCGGUUAAAUCUGUACGCUCAACGUACAGGCUGCUGGGAAUACUGCAGAGCUAGGGAGUGGGAGAGAUAGACGGUACUCGGGAGGAAGUGGUAAAAUGCUUUGAUCUCUCGAUGACCACCUGUGGCGAAGGCGGUCUAUCAGAACACGUCCGACGGUGAGGGGUGAAAGCUGGGGGAGCAAACCGGAUUAGAAACCCGAGUAGUCC
rnacentral:rRNA from 1 species